UGGCUCUCGCAUCGAUGAAGAACGCAGCGAAAUGCGAUAAGUAAUGUGAAUUGCAGAAUUCAGUGAAUCAUCGAAUCUUUGAACGCACCUUGCGCUCCUUGGUAUUCCGAGGAGCAUGCCUGUUUGAGUGUCAUGGUAUUCUCAAUUCCCUUGGAUUUUUCUAAGGUGAUAUUGGAUUUGGAGGUUGCUUGCUGGACUCUGUUUGGAAACCAGCUCCUCUUAAAUACAUUAGUGUGAACAUUCACUUCAUACUCGGUGUGAUAAAUAUCUACGCUGUGUUUGUGUGAUAAAGCUUCAUGCUUCAAAUUGUCGCAAGACACUAUCUUGACUUCUGACCUCAAAUCAGGUAGGACUACCCGCUGA
rnacentral:misc_RNA from 1 species